rnacentral:rRNA from 1 species
CCUACGGGAGGCAGCAGUGGGGAAUAUUGCACAAUGGGGGAAACCCUGAUGCAGCGACGCCGCGUGAGUGAAGAAGUAUUUCGGUACGUAAAGCUCUAUCAGCAGGGAAGAAAAUGACGGUGCCUAACUGAGCAUCCCCGGCUAACUACGUGCCAGCAGCCGAGGUAAUACGUAGGGCGCAAACGUUAUCCGGAUUUAUUGGGGGUAAAGGGAGCGCAGGCGGCAGCGCAAGUCUGAAGUGAAAGCCCAUGGCUUAACCAGGGAGCUGCAUUGGAAACUGUGCGGCUGGAGUGCAGGAGAGGUGAGCGGAAUUCCAAGUGUAGCGGUGAAAUGCGUAGAUAUAAGGAGGAACACCAGUGGCGAAGGCGGCUCACUGGACUGUAACUGACGUUGAGGCUCGAAAGCGUGGGGAGCAAACAGGAUUAGAUACCCGUGUAGUC